rnacentral:tRNA from 1 species
AAGAAAGAAGCAUGAGUGGUUUAAUGCGGUUGGCUUGAAACUAGCUUAUGAGGGUUCGACUCCUUCCUUUCUUG